AAACUAACAAGGAUUCCCCUAGUAACUGCGAGUGAAGCGGGAAAAGCUCAAAUUUUGAAUCUGGCGGUCAUUUUUUUACGGCCGUCCGAGUUGUAAUCUAGAGAAGCGUUUUCCGCGUUGGACCGUGUACAAGUCUCCUGGAAGGGAGCGUCCUAGAGGGUGAGAAUCCCGUCUUUGACACGGACUACCAAGGCUAUGUGAUGCGCUCUCGACGAGUCGAGUUGUUUGUGAAUGCAGCUCAAAUUGGGUGGUAAAUUCCAUCUAAAGCUAAAUAUAGGCGAGAAACCGAUAGCGAACAAGUACCGUGAGGGAAAGACGAAAAGAACUUUGGAAAGAGAGUUAAAUAGUACGUGAAAUUGCUGAAAGGGAAACGCUUGAGGUCCAGUCGCGUCCGAUCGGGGAUCAACCUUGCUUAUCUUGCUCGGUGCACUUCCCGGUCGACGGGUCAGCAUCAGUUUCGGUCGCUGUACAAUGGUAGAGGGAAUGUGGCACUUUUCGGAGUGUGUUAUAGCCUUCUAUCGAAUGGUGGCGACUGGGACUGAGGAACUCGGCCCAAUACUUUAACUAGUGUCGUGUCUAGGAUGCUGGCAUAAUGGCCUUAAGCGACCCGUCUUGAAACACGGACCAAGGAGUCUAACAUGCGUGCGAGUGUUUGGGUGGUUAAACUCUGGCGCGAAAUGAAAGUGAAAGUCGAGAUCUCUGUCAUGGAGAGCACCGACGCCCGGAUCCAAGUCUUUGACAAGGAUUCUGCGGUAGAGCAUGUAUGUUGGGACCCGAAAGAUGGUGAACUAUGCCUGAAUAGGGUAAAGCCAGAGGAAACUCUGGUGGA
rnacentral:rRNA from 1 species